rnacentral:rRNA from 1 species
GAUGAACGCUGGCGGCGUGCCUAAUACAUGCAAGUCGAGCGAACAGACGAGGAGCUUGCUCCUCUGACGUUAGCGGCGGACGGGUGAGUAACACGUGGAUAACCUACCUAUAAGACUGGGAUAACUUCGGGAAACCGGAGCUAAUCCCGGAUAAUAUAUUGAACCGCAUGGUUCAAUAGUGAAAGACGGUUUUGCUGUCACUUAUAGCUGGAUCCGCGCCGCAUUAGCUGGUUGGUAAGGUAACGGCUUACCAAGGCAACGAUGCGUAGCCGACCUGAGAGGGUGAUCGGCCACACUGGAGCUGAGACACGGUCCAGACUCCUACGGGAGGCAGCAGUAGGGAAUCUUCCGCAAUGGGCGAAAGCCUGACGGAGCAACGCCGCGUGAGUGAUGAAGGUCUUCGGAUCGUAAAACUCUGUUAUUAGUGAAGAACAAAUGUGUAAGUAACUAUGCACGUCUUGACGGUACCUAAUCAGAAAGCCACGGCUAACUACGUG